rnacentral:rRNA from 1 species
CAGCUAGUUGGUGAGGUAACGGCUCACCAAGGCAACGAUCGGUAGCCGGCCUGAGAGGGUGAUCGGCCACACCGGAACUGAGACACGGUCCGGACUCCUACGGGAGGCAGCAGUGGGGAAUCUUGCGCAAUGGGCGAAAGCCUGACGCAGCAACGCCGCGUGGAGGAUGAAGGCCCUUGGGUUGUAAACUCCUGUCGGCUGGGAAGAAAUCGUUCGGGGUUAAUACCCCCGGACGUUGACUGUACCAGCAAAGGAAGCCCCGGCUAACUCUGUGCCAGCAGCCGCGGUAAUACAGAGGGGGCUAGCGUUAUUCGGAAUUAUUGGGCGUAAAGGGCGCGUAGGCGGCCUUGCAUGUCUCCCGUGAAAUCCCUCGGCUUAACCGAGGACGUGCGGGAGAAACUGCGAGGCUCGAGUCCGGGAGAGGGGGGUGGAAUUCCCAGUGUAGCGGUGAAAUGCGUAGAUAUUGGGAGGAACACCGGUGGCGAAGGCGGCCCCCUGGACCGGUACUGACGCUGAGGCGCGAAAGCGUGGGUAGC